GUACAUCAAGCACGUUGUCAUGACCAUCGGGUUGAACACAUGGGGUCUUGUGCUCUACAACAACCUUGAGGCUCUGCUGUUGUUUCCCCUUGAGCUCCUUAUAAUGGGAGAGUUUAAUCAGAUGAAGGUGGACAGCUCCAAGAUGACAACAAACUGGCUAUCGUUCGACGUGGUCCUUCCUGUUGCUCUGUCAUGCCUGUUCGGGUUAUCUAUAUCCUUCUUUGGAUUUUCCUGCAGACGGGCCAUCUCUGCUACUGGAUUUACGGUGCUCGGUAUAGUGAACAAGCUCCUGACCGUCGUGAUCAAUCUGCUUAUCUGGGACAAGCAUGCGUCCCUUGUGGGGACAAUUGGGCUUUUGAUAUGCAUGUCUGGUGGUGUUCUCUACCAGCAAUCGGCCACAAAGCCCAAGGUGCCCAAGAUCGAGCCAAAGGAAGAGGACGAUGAAGAGGGGCAGAAUUUGCUGCAGAUUCAGCCCGGGCAUGAGAGCAACCCAAGUCAAAAGCAUUCCUCAUAAGCUUACUUUACCUUCCCUCGACAACCCAUUCGUGGUAUACCUCAGAUGAGAAAUCUUGAACAUGCUGUAGAACAUCGGCGUUUCAAGAGAAACUAAAUUUCAUUCUACAAUACCUUUGUUAUUGUAUACUGUUUUUCAUUGGUUAGACAGGAUUGUGGUGGUGGUGUAGGGUACCAGACACCUCAACAUACUAGGGUCGAAUCCCCUGUAUACUGAACCAUGUAUGCUAUUUACCAUAUUCCAGAAAUACAAUGGAUGUACUUAUUCGCUU
rnacentral:lncRNA from 1 species